UAUUACCAGUAUAUUCUAAUACUAUCAGAGAUUUUCUAUAUAAAUCAAAGUAGGCUGGAAGCUUGCAUUAUUUUCCCACAACACCCAUCGUCAUUCGUGUUCAUUCCUUGAGCUACAUACAUUUAUAUUUAUGUGCAUGCUUUGUCAGGGAUCAAAAGAGAUAUCUGAAGUUCCCUCAUCAAAUUUACAACUACAUGUACUUACUGAUUACAAAUCAUCAAAUUUAAAAUGUUUUAUUUUCAUACGGGAAAUUUAUAUACAAUUUUUUGUUGUUUAUUUAGCAGAUUGGAAUAACCUAUUAGUUCAACAAUGUGUCUUUCUAUUUCAUCACUUUUAUGUGUUUGAAUGAAAGUAGAUGUUCAGUGUUGUGGUAAACUACAGGUUGGGCCUUGCUGCUUACCGGUAUCCUUGUCCAUAUUGUGCAAUAAUAUACCACAAUGCACUGGGAAUUAAUAUCUAAAUUGUAUAUCUUAAUAUAAAGAGAAUUAUGAUACAUUGAGUAUCCCCAAGUUUCAGUGUAUCAUCAGCUACAGCGAACUAUCAUGAAGUGAUGUGAUCAUCAAGAUAGAUUUUUAGUGUUUUAUUUUUUUUUAUAAUUUUUCUCUCAAUUUUAUGAAAACUGUUUUAGUAUUUUGUUAAUUUUCUAUUUGAAUUAUAACAAUAUGUUGGUGUCUUUCGGUUAAUUAUUGUAAUAUGUGUUGUGUAUUUUCUACCUACCGAGUACUGGUAGUUACAAUUCGUUGUUGAUUUCAGGGUAAACUGCUACGAUGUGUUUGACAGCUGCGCACCUUUCGGAGGGUUCAACAUGUCUGGUAAUGGACGUGAACUUGGAGAAUAUGGACUUGAAGCCUAUACGGAAGUUAAACAUGUGUGUAUUAAAGUGCCUCCAAAGAAUUCAUAAAUUAAACCAUGAAACUUUUGUCAGUGUGAAUCAAUUUGAAAUACAAUCAAAACCUAAUUAUGUUUGAAAAAGUGUCUCUUAUAAAAGUGGUGAAAAAACAAACUUGUCAGGUAUAUAACCAUCAACAGAUUGUAUGAAUUUGCCACAUUGUGUUGUUGUAUUGUUGUUAAUUAUAUAUAUUUUGCAAUUUGUGAGAAUUUAUGCAAUAAUUUCUCAUUUGGAUUGGUGAUUCUAGAAGGUAAAUGAGGAGUCUGGUCAAAUUGACAUGCUCUGUUGAUGUUCUUCAGAAAGUGCUAGAAAAUCAUAUACAUAUUUCUUUUAUUAUAUUGUAUUGUAUUAUUAUAUAUACAUAAUAUAUAAUUACAUGAAUUUGUAUAUAAAAAAGACAUUUUUUAAAAAAAAAUUAUUUCAAACUAAUUACUUUGCUUUACAUGUUAGUUAUAGACCUAUACUUUAUAUAUUUUGUUAGAUAUAUUCUUUGGUUAUAUGGGAUACAUGUGUUACAUGGGAACAAGGCAAGAUCUAUCACAAUAAUGAUGAUAUUAAAUUUAGAGCUAGAUUAUUAAAUUAUGUGUUUUCUAUGUGUGCGCAGGUUUACCACUAUUUUCAACAAAAAAAAGAUGUUUGAUGUUCGUGCUAUAAAUACAUUCUCUAUGAUGAGUACGGGUUAAUAACUAUAAGCGAUUAUAAGUGUAACAUUCAUUUUAAAGUGACCUACAGCUUUUCUUAAGGUUGAAUAUGAUAUUUUACGUAAAUCAUUUCAUAUAAUUGUUGAACCAAAAUUUUUUCAUUUAAUUGUUUCAUAUAAUUGUUGAAUCAAAAUUUGUUUAUGAAAUUUGCAGUCGAUAAAAUAAUAAACAAUAAGGAAACCCCACGAUAAUCUCAAAUCUACCGGUCCGCUCUCUAUAUGUAAAUAAGUAAAGCAGACAAUUUGUUUCUCGGUCUUAUUUUUAGACACGGACAUGCUAUUAAUAGCUCUUAGAACGCUGUUUUUAGAAAGCUUAACAGUGUAUAUAUGAUUCACUUUUCCAAAAUAAAUUACUGAGUUUAGAACAAAACAGAAUAGUUUUUUCCAACAAAAAGGCUGAAGGCUGCUUUAAGUCCAUUUAGCAGCAAAAGUAAUGUUUAAAACCUUGAUGUAGCAAGUUUCUACUUACAUUAUAAAUGUCAAUUGGAUCUAUAUCUAAUUUUGUGACAAUUGUUUCGUAAUGAUUCACACAAGAUUGAAUUGGGUCAUCUGAGGUCAGAUCAAAGGGAAAAGCAUGUUUUCCCUCUAUAGAACAAACUUAAUGAAAUAUUAAUGAAAAUGUGUAAGCUUUAAAUAUGCAGACCAUAUUUAGAUAUACAUGUAGGUCUUGUAGGUUAAAAUGCAACACAAAUCACAUUUGGUAUAGAAAAAAAGUCACUGGCUCAGAAUGAAAUAAAAACCUUAACUUUUCAUCAAACUUUUCAUCAUACCAUGAAUUUUUCAUUAAUCUUAGAAAAGCAUUAAUUUUGCAGUCUUCACUCAGGUUAACAAUAAAUGGGUACUUAUUGCAUUGUUAUUUUUAUGCCCCCGCCAUGUAAUGGCCGGGGCAUAUAGUGUUACCCUGUUCCGUCCUUCCGUCAUUCCGUCCUUCCGUCAUUCCGUCCUUCCGUCAUUCCGUCCUUCCGUCAUUCCGUCAUUCUGUCAUUCCGUCAUCAUCAGUUUCCGUUCAUUAUCUAAGUAACGGUUGCACACAUUCAACUCAAAUUUGACAUAUGGAUAUGUCAUGAGAAAAUACAGGUCAAGUUCGAAUUUGGUCAUGGUUCGAUGAUUUUUGGCAGAGUUAUGCCCCUUUUACUUUAAAAUAAUAUGAAAUUUUCAGUUUCCAUUCAUUAUCUCCCCAACGAUACAACACAUUCAACUCAAACUUGACAUAU